GUGUUUGGUUAUGUCCUCCCAUCCGUUAAACUUGAAUAGGAAAGCCAGCGCCGACAUGUGCCUGUCUACCAUAGCUGGAGACACCUUUUUAGCGAAUAGUCGACACAGUACCCAUAACAACACAUCUAGCCGAUGACCUGCCAAAAGGUCCCCUCCAAUUUGUGCCACCGUCUCAUCCCAUUCAUGCCAAACCUUUUCGUAUGCCGCCCAAGUGCCCGAUGCCAAGGAACUCCUUACGAACUCCCGGAGCAUGAUGUCCUGAGCUGCCACAAUUCCUCAGGACAUGCCAGACCCUCCUCCUGUGCUUCUGGAGCCGCUUCCCGAAAACGUUCCCACUGUGAACGAGACAGUGUGUCAGCCACUAUGUUUAAGAACCCUGGUACAUGCAUUGCCCUAAACAUGAUAUUGC